GUGCUCGCUUUGGCUGCACAUAUGCUAAAACUGGAACAAUACGGAGAAGAUUAGCAUGGCCCCUGCACAAGGAUGACACGCAUAUUGUUGUCUUCAUAGUAGUUGUU
ensembl:snRNA U6 U6 spliceosomal RNA